rnacentral:rRNA from 1 species
UACAGAGGUCCCGAGCGUUGUUCGGAUUCAUUGGGCGUAAAGGGUGCGUAGGCGGUCUGCUAAGUUUGAUGUGAAAUCCCGGGGCUUAACCCUGGAAUGGCAUUGAAUACUGGCGGACUAGAGUCCUGGAGAGGAAACUGGAAUUUACGGUGUAGCAGUGAAAUGCGUAGAGAUCGUAAGGAAGACCAGUGGCGAAGGCGAGUUUCUGGACAGGUACUGACGCUGAGGCACGAAGGCCAGGGGAGCAAACGGG